UACGAAGGGGGCUAGCGUUGUUCGGAUUUACUGGGCGUAAAGCGCACGUAGGCGGUUUGUUAAGUCAGGGGUGAAAUCCCGGAGCUCAACUCCGGAACUGCCUUUGAUACUGGCAAGCUAGAGUCCGGAAGAGGUAAGUGGAACUCCUAGUGUAGAGGUGGAAUUCGUAGAUAUUAGGAAGAACACCAGUGGCGAAAGCAGGUAUCUGGGCCAUCACUGACGCUGAGCUGCGAAAGCUAGGGGAGCAAACAGG
rnacentral:rRNA from 1 species